AUUGAACGCUGGCGGCAGGCCUAACACAUGCAAGUCGAGCGAGCGGCGGACGGGGGAGUAAUGUAUGGGGACUGCCCGAUAGAGGGGGAUAACUACUGGAAACGGUAGCUAAUACCGCAUACUAUCGGAUAACCCAUAUGGGGUUAGCUAGUUGGGGAGGUAAGGGCUCACCAAGGCGACGAUCCCUAGCAGGUCUGAGAGGAUGAACAGCCACACUGGGACUGAUACACGGCCCAGACUCCGACGGAGGCAGCAGUGGUGAAUAUUGCACAAUGGGCGCAAGCCUGAUGCAGCCAUGCCGCGUGUAUGAAGAAGGCCCUAGGGUUGUAAAGUACUUUCGGUCGGGAGGCGUUACCGACAGAAGAAGCACCGGCUAACUCCGGGCCAGCAGCCGCGGUAAUUC
rnacentral:rRNA from 1 species